GCACCUUAAGAGCAUGGUUAAUAGCAUUGCCAACUGUUGGCUAUAAGCAGUCUUAUAGCCUACCUUAUAGCUAGCUUGUACAAUAGUUAGCUAUAAAAGAGUACUACUUUUAUCAUAUAUGGUCAACGUUUCAUUCUCACAAAGCACCUAAGAACACGUGCUAGAACUGACUCUUCACGAAGAGCCAAUUUUCCUAAUCUCUCCUCAUCUUUCUCUUCCAACUCAACAGAAAUAUACUAUUUUAAUCCUUAUAACCUGCUGAGAGUGUACCUUAUUGUACUUUCUCUGAUCCGACCCUCUCGACGCCUCGCCCGCC
rnacentral:lncRNA from 1 species